CCCACGGCCGGGGGUGGGUGGGGGCGGAGGCUCAGGCAUGGCGAGCUGCAGGUCGUGAGCCCUGCCCAGCGGGAAGGCAGCUAAGGCCCCACGAGAAAUUGAGUGCAGCGCCGGUGAGCCGGCACUGCUGGGGGACCCAGUACACCGUCCGCAGCCGCUGGCUUGGGUGCUAAGCCCCUCACUGCCCGGGGCCGGCAGGGCGGGCCGGCUGCUCCAAGUGCAGGGCCCGCCAAGCCCACGCCCACCCGGAACUCCAGCUAGCCCGCAAGCGCCGCACGCAGUCCCGGUUCCCGCUCGCGCCUCUCCCUCCACAACUCCCUGCAAGCUGAGAGAGCCGGCUCCGGCCUUGGCCAGCCCAGAAAGGGGCUCCAACAGUGCAGCGGCGGGCUGAAGGGCUUCUCAAGUGCAGUCAAAGUGGGAGCCCAGGCAGAGGAGGCGUGGAGAGCGAGGAAGGGCUGUGAGGACUGUCAGCACGCUGUCACCUCUCACUACCACAAAGCAACACAAACUGGGAAGCUCCAAACCACAGACUCGUUAUCUCACUUCUCUGGAGGCUACAAGUCUGAAGUCAAGGCGUCGGCUGGGCUGCGCUCUCCAAAACCUGUAGUGAAUGCUGUCAUAAAACCUGGACAGUAUGCAGCCUGGAGAAACUCUUUGAAGAUUGUAAUGUAAAUACCAGCAAGCAAAUUGCAGAAGAACAUCAGACUUUGAAGCCAUUAAACGGCGCCUUGCGUGGGAGAGACGAAGGAGCGGAGAUGCCCAGUACAGUCGGCGUCCUCCUCAGUGUGUGGAAACCCGCAGUGCUCUGUGGGAGGCACAGAAAAACAGGAGGUGCUGGGGACCAAG
rnacentral:lncRNA from 10 species